rnacentral:tRNA from 1 species
GCUGCGAUGGCCGAGUGGUUAAGGCGUUGGACUCGAAAUCCAAUGGGAUAUUCCCGCGCAGGUUCGAAUCCUGUUCGCAGUG